CCCGUAUCUGCAGACGAUGGACAUUUCGCAAAUUUUGAUAUUUUGUGGUUAAUUUUUGUCCUCAAAGACAGCUUUUUUUGAGUUGAAUUCGGGGAUUUACAAUGUCCCCACUUCAUGACUUUGUUUUUCAUGAAUUUGUCCGAGGAAUUGGUGAAUUGAUUGAGUAAACAGUGCAGAAAUUGACAGCAGAAUGGCCUUUGGAUCAACAUUGAAGACGAACAUGCGAAAACAGGGUUGAAAAGAACAACUGGCCAGGAUGGUUGCGCCAAGCUGCACUGUGGACAACUGUUUGGGGAGAAAAGGGAGCCAGGCAUC